rnacentral:rRNA from 1 species
CGCCUCCUGCAAAAAUCAAUGUAUAGGAGGUCUUGCCUGCCCAGUGACAAGUUAAACGGCCGCGGUAUUUUGACCGUGCGAAGGUAGCGCAAUCACUUGUCUUUUAAAUGAAGACCUGUAUGAAUGGUGGAACGAGGGCUUAACUGUCUCCCCUUUCAAGUCAAUGAAAUUGAUCUGCCCGUGCAGAAGCGGGCAUAAAAAUACAAGACGAGAAGACCCUUUGGAGCUUAAGAUACAAGAUCAACUAUGUCAAGAACUCUAAAAUUAAGUUAAACUAAAUAGUUAACUGAUCCCUAUCUUCGGUUGGGGCGACCGCGGGAGAAAACAAAGCUCCCACGCGGACUGGGAUUAUAAUCCUAAAACCAAGAAAGACAUCUCUAAGUCGCAGAACAUCUGACCAUAAGGAUCCGGCCUAACCCGCCGACCAACGGACCAAGUUACCCUAGGGAUAACAGCGCAAUCCCCUUUCAGAGUCCAUAUCGACAAGGGGGUUUACGACCUCGAUGUUGGAUCAGGACAUCCUAAUGGUGCAGCCGCUAUUAAGGGUUCGUUUGUUCAACGAUUAAAGUCCU